GAUGGACGGCCCUGAGUUGUGAAACUGCUUUUGUGUGGGGAGUGAAAGUGGGGCACGCGUGCCUUUUUGCAUUUACCCUUCGAAUAAGGACCGGCUAAUUCCGUGCCAGCAGCCGCGGUAAUACGGAAGGUCCAGGCGUUAUCCGGAUUUAUUGGGUUUAAAGGGAGUGUAGGCGGUCUGUUAAGCGUGUUGUGAAAUUUAGGUGCUCAACAUCUACCUUGCAGCGCGAACUGGCGGACUUGAGUGCACGCAACGUAUGCGGAAUUCAUGGUGUAGCGGUGAAAUGCUUAGAUAUCAUGACGAACUCCGAUUGCGAAGGCAGCGUACGGGAGUGUUACUGACGCUUAAGCUCGAAGGGUGCGGGUAUCGAACAGGAUUAGAUACCCUGGUAGUCCGCACGGUAAACGAUGGAUGCCCGCUGUUAGCGCCUGGCGUUAGCGGCUAAGCGAAAGCAUUAAGCAUCCCACCUGGGGGAGUACGCCGGGCAACGGGUGAAAACUCAAAAGG
rnacentral:rRNA from 1 species